AUUUGCUUCCUUUUAUCAACAGGUAAUGCUUUCACUCAACCACCAAAAAAAUGGAGAUAGUCGUAUAAGAACAAAAAACUGUCAGUGUGGUUUAAUUAGAGAAUGCAAGGUGAACAGAACUCCUGUCGAAUGUCUGGUUAGAAAAAAAGGGAUCGUGAAGUUGGAAUGUGUGAAGCUUUGUCCUGGGAACCUGUGGGGCUCAGGUUCCCCAUUCAAAACAGAAGGAGUCCAGCUGAAUGGGAUCCUGGCUCUUUGCUGGGUGUGAAUGUGACGUCUGUCCCUGUGGCCCCACCUGAGCCCAGCAUCCAGCCGAUAACCCCAGGACAACUCAGCGAACCACUAGCAAGUCCCAGACUCCUAUUACUUGGCGUAGAAAUAAAUGAAGACCAACCGAAUGAGAAAAACAAGACUCUUCACGGGGAGCUUGCCGGAGCAUGGGUCUCGGCCACAGGACUUGGCCACGGGACUCGGCUACCACCACGUGCUUUCGGGAGGGACCGAGACACUUUCUCCUGGCUCUGGGGGCACCCCGACAGAGGCUGUUGGCGCAUGGAAGCUGGGGUGGCUGAGCGGAAGUGGGGCACCCAGGUGGGUGGUUAGGGGAGCCCAUCUUUCUCUGUGUGGUUCUGAGUUAGCGGGUGGGGAGAGCGGUGAGAAUGGGGGAAGCUGGUCAUUUGUGCCCAGGUUCUGACCCUCGGGCCGAUUGCUGUGGAGCUUGGGGCCAGAGUUCUGUGUCAUCGAUGGUCCGGCUGUGUCCUUUUGCAGACCAGACGGUCUCUCCGGGUAAGCAUGUGCCGGUGGUGGUUCCACUGUCUCUACGAAGGAGAGACUUAAAGGGAUGGUUUGUGGCUGGAGAGUCAGGGGGCCUGUUAGGGAGCUGUGUGUGCAUCGGAAACUCGCUGACUCUACCUGGGUUAUUUGUUUAUUUGGAGGGGCUCUGGCGUCCGUGGCGCUGGGUGCGGUGACGCUUCUAGAGUGCACAUGUGAGCAGCAGAAAGGCUCUGAGAAUGGGCACCAAUUCCAGGUCCUAAAUCGAACAUUCCCGUUCUGUGCCAGACUCCGCUCACGGGGUCCGCUAACCCAAGAAUGUGCUUCGCGGGUCCCGGGGAAGCUCCUGUGAAAAUGAUGGCUAGGAAGCCGGGCGAGGGGACCCCUGCGGGGCGAGCGGGGCGACGGGCUUCGGAGUCACUUCAACAAAACCAAAUACUAACUAUGGAAAUUAACCAUUCCUCAAACUAAUUGAUUUAUAAGAUGAAUGGUCCUCUCAGAACCAAAAUAAUGAUAUUAAAUGGCAGAGUAACUGCAUUCGGGGUUAUUGAAAGGAAGGAAAAUCUCUGCUCCGACUGGAGUUAAUGGCCUGCCCCUGCCCUUCUGUCAACCUCUUCCGCUCGGAAUAUAUAUAUUUUCUCUCUUCUCCCAUCCGCGGAUUAUUAAUACCCAAAUGACUAUUGGAUUAAU